rnacentral:rRNA from 1 species
CCUAUAAUGCNAGUCGAACGCUUUCUUUUCUGCCGAGUGCUUGCACUCAAUUGAAAAGAAGANUGGCGGACGGGUGAGUAACACGUGGGUAACCUGCCCAUCAGAAGGGGAUAACACUUGGAAACNGGUGCUAAUACCGUAUAACAAUAGGAACCGCAUGGUUCUUAUUUGAAAGACGCUUUCGGGUGUCGCUGAUGGAUGGACCCGCGGUGCAUUAGCUAGUUGGUGAGGUAAGGGCUCACCAAGGCCACGAUGCAUAGCCGACCUGAGAGGGUGAUCGGCCACACUGGGACUGAGACACGGCCCAGACUCCUACGGGAGGCAGCAGUAGGGAAUCUUCGGCAAUGGACGAAAGUCUGACCGAGCAACGCCGCGUGAGUGAAGAAGGUUUUCGGAUCGUAAAACUCUGUUGUUAGAGAAGAACAAGUGGGAGAGUAACUGCUCUCACCUUGACGGUAUCUGACCAGAAAGCCACGGCUAACUACCGUGCCAGCAGCCGCGGUAAUACGUAGGUGGCAAGCNUUGUCCGGAUUUAUUGGGCGUAAAGCGAGCGCAGGCGGUUUCUUAAGUCUGAUGUGAAAGCCCCCGGCUCAANCGGGGAGGGUCAUUGGAAACUGGGAGACUUGAGUGCAGAAGAGGAGAGUGGAAUUCCAUGUGUAGCGGUGAAAUGCNUAGAUAUAUGGAGGAACNCCAGUGGCNAAGGCNGCUCUCUGGUCUGUAACUGACGCUGAGGCUCCNAAAGCGUGGGGAGCAAACNGGAUUAGAUACCCUGNUAGUCCNCCCCGUACACNAUGAGUGCUAAGUGUUGGGAGGGUUUCCNCCCCUUCAGUGNCUGCCAGCAAACCCCUUUAA